GCUUCACACUGGGCAUUUGCCCAGAGCUGGGAUUAUCGGUUUUAAUGGGACUCCUGCAGAACAACACCUGAAUGAUGGAAAAUGUCCAAAAGUACAGAACUUUGUAUCUUCACAGUGGGCAUUUGCCCAGAGGUACGAUUAUCAAUUUUAACAAAACUGCACCAAUGUAUGAAUGAAUGCUUGUGCCCUUGGAAUACUGUCCAAAAUGAGAGAACUUUGUAGCCCAAGUAAUAUCCAGAUUCUCAGCAGUUUGAGUGUAGAGAUACAGAACACUCUGGAUAAAUUAAAACCUUAAUCUCACAAGAACUAUAUUGUCAAUCAUUUUCUUGCAUGGC